CAAACUGGUUGCAUGCAUGUUCAGCAUUAGCACUCUAAUAAAUUUCAAUAGGGAUUUUAAUACUAUCCAACUAGCAUUUAAAAUGUUCACACGAACCAAUUUAGAAAAGUUUCUGCUUUUUGCUGAUUAGUACAUAAGCAUUGCAUGCAACUUAUGCUAAACUAGCAUUUUUAUAAAACUUAUAAGCAUUUAUAGGUAGGAAUUAAGCAACAAUAUUAUUACAGAUGGGCAAUAAUAUAGUUCCCAAUAAGCAUUUUCCCUAUAUGUAACAACAAAAAUAUCAACAUUAGGUAAACAUUUAGGCAAUUUAUAUGUAGGAAUUAGGGAAUAAUAUAAUUACAGAUGGGCAAUGAUAUGGUUCCAUAAGCAUCCCCCCGGUUCAUUGUUUGUGUCUGGUUUGCUGGUUAGUUGUACAGCUAGGCAUGAACAAGCUCACACAAGGCUUGAAUUGGUGGAUUUGCUGGCUAUUAAUACUGAUUCAAUUCCUUGUAUUGCUGUUAGCUAUCCUAAUUAAUUUAGGUGAUUUUGCUGGUUAUUAAUAGUGAUUCAAUUUUUUGUUUUGUUGGUUAUCUAUCUUCAUCAAUUUAGGCAAUUUUCUGGUUAUUCAUACUGAUUCAAUUCCUUGUUUUGGUGUCAUAGCAGACUCACACAAAUCUGAUGAUGGUGCUGGUCCAUACUGUUUUGGUGCUAGAGAAUAAGGCCUGAAGAUUUAUAUUGUAUGAAUUUUAGGAGGCAUUUAAAUUCUAUUUAGAUAUUAUUUUAAAUAUUCCUUGCUUAUUUCUCUAUGCAUUUUUGGAGCAGUGUGACUUGGUUGACCUACAAAUCUCACACUCAUUCCUCUUUGCCUGGGCAUUCAUCCCCUUAGAUAUCACAUUUUCCCUUUUUUGCCAUUUGACUAUCGAUCGUGGUAGGUUGUGUAUGUUUGAUGAUGUAGUUGCACGACCAGUGCAAUUAGGUUAGUUGGGUUAUCAAAAAUUAUAGUUGAGAUAUCACCAAUAUGACAUGCCUACAGGUGCAUCUGAUUAGUUAUUGAACUUUAUAAGGCUGUUAGAGAGUAAUACUAGCUAUGAGAGUAGGCAAUUAAAUGUACUUCAUUAGGUAAUAAUGUUGUUCUAGAUUAGCAAAUUAUGUAAUUAUUUGCGGCAAUAAUAUGAUUCUUGAUUGGGUAAUAAUAUGAUCAGAAAUUUUAAGCAAUGUUAUGUUUCCGAAUUAGCAAAAAAUAUGAUAAUGUGGGUCAUAUAGAACUAGCAAUGUUUGUUACUAGAGGUAUUUAGCCUUUGAUGAUAUUUACUCCUAAUACUAACUGCAUUUACUAUUCUUUCACUAAUCUGUGUUUUCUUUCCUCAUUUCAGUCACACAAAAAUGGUGUUUGGAACUUGAAACCUGAUUUUCCUUUUCUUUUUGUCUGCAAGAUUCCUCAACAAAUCGGCACUAUAACCCGCCAUGUAGCUGUAAGGCUCCCAUCAUUGUAUUUUUUUUGGGUGCCAAGGUCUACAACAUUUCAUUAUACAUAUGGGGAAGGAGGGCAAUGAGGUGUAUCAACCCAUCAGUUCGGAAACUUCAACACAUGUUGUUUAGUUUGUCCAUCAAAAGCAACUUUUCAGCAUUACAACAGAUCUGUCCUGAGGCAAUGUGUGUUUGUGUUAAUAGGAUUUUGUAGUUCUUUCUUGUGAGAUGCAUGCGUAUCACAACAGAGUCAUGAAAGUUUAAUAUUUGCCUGUGAUGUAGUUUUUUAGCCAAGGAAUGAGGGAGAGGCAAAUCUAUGUGUAAAUAGACUCCUGUAAACUAAAUUGAUAUGCUUAUGACAUUUGGCAGUUCUUUAUAAUAUGUAUGUAUUCUGAAUAAAAUUAUAUAUUCUAUCCA